rnacentral:rRNA from 1 species
UGUGAAGGAAAGGUGAAAAGCACCCCGGGAGGGGAGUGAAAGAGAACCUGAAACCCUGUGCUUACAAGCACUUAGAGCACGUCAAAGUGUGAUAAGGUACCUAUUGUAGAAUGGUCCGGCGAGUUAUUGUAUGCAGCGAGGUUAAGUAGUUCAGCUACGGAGCCGAAGUGAGAGCGAGUGUUAACAGCACGUUCAGUUGCAUGCAAUAGACCCGAAACCGGGUGACCUAUCCAUGUCCAGGAUGAAGUGAGGGUAAAACCUCAUGGAGGUCCGAACCCACUCCCGUUGAAAUGGUAGGGGAUGAGGUGUGGAUAGCGGAGAAAUUCCAAUCGAACCCGGAUAUAGCUGGUUCUCCCCGAAAUAGUUUUAGGACUAGCCUCGUGAUUAAGAUUAUCGGAGGUAAAGCACUGAAUGGCCUAGGGGUCGAGAGAUUACCGAAGCCUAUCAAACUCUGAAUGCCGAAUAAUCAUGCACGGGAGUCAGACUGUGUGAGAUAAGUUUCAUAGUCGAAAGGGAAACAGCCCAGACCUACAGCUAAGGUCCCAAAGUACGUUUAAGUGGAAAACGAUGUGAAAUUGCGUAGACAACCAGGAUGUUGGCUUAGAAGCAGCCAUACAUUAAAAGAGUGCGUAAUAGCUCACUGGUCGAGUGACUUUGCGCGGAAAAUUUAACGGGGCUAAAACGUACACCGAAGCUUAGGCUUGUCACAAUGUGACAGGGGUAGGGGAGCGUUGAAUGAGGGGUGAAGUCGUAGCGAAAGCGACGGUGGACUUCAUUCAAGUGAGAAUGCCGGAAUGAGUAGCGAGAAUUAUGUGAGAAUCAUAAUGGCCGAAAGCCUAAGGUUUUUGGAGGAAGGUUCGUCCGCUCCAAGUAAGUCGGAAGCUAAGGUGAGGCUGAAAAGCGUAGCCGAUGCACAAACGGUUGAAAUUCCGUUACCACAGAAAGAUUUAAACUAAGGGACACUUUUGAAGAGCUGAUGCCGGGUGUUGGUUACCCCGGUCGUAAGGGAACGAAAUUAAGUAGUGAAGUCAGCGUGGAUGAAGGCGAGAAAAGCUUAGUGUAUAUCUUAUGUGUCCGUACCGCAAACCGACACAGGUAGGUAGGAAGAGAAUUCUAAGGCCAACGGGAGAAGGGUAGUUAAGGAACUCGGCAAAAUGUCCCCGUAACUUCGGAAUAAGGGGAGGUUUCUACGGAAACCCGCAGAGAAUAGUCCCAGGCAACUGUUUAUCAAAAACACAGCUCUAUGCUAAAUCGAAAGAUGACGUAUAUGGGGUGACGCCUGCCCGGUGCCGGAAGGUUAAGAGGAGGAGUGAGAGCCCUGAAUCGAAGCCCCGGUAAACGGCGGCCGUAACUAUAACGGUCCUAAGGUAGCGAAAUUCCUUGUCAGGUAAGUUCUGACCCGCACGAAUGGCGUAAUGAUCUGGGAGCUGUCUCAACUGCCCGCCCGGCGAAAUUGUAGUACCGGUGAAGAUGCCGGUUACCCGCGACUAGACGGAAAGACCCCAUGGAGCUUUACUGUAGCUUAAUAUUGGAUUUCGGCAUUUCAUGUACAGGAUAGGUGGGAGACUAGGAAACAUAGGCGUCAGCUUAUGCGGAGUCGUCCUUGGGAUACCACUCUUGGAGUGCUGAAAUUCUAACCUGCAGCCCUGAAUCGGGUUGGGGGACAUUGUUAGGUGGGCAGUUUGACUGGGGCGGUC